UAUAGGUAAUAUGUUGUUUUGUAUAUAGGAAAAGUAUAUUAAUCGGUGGAGAAAAAUAACAGCAGAGGUUAACCAUUUCACAACAGAUAUAAGCAGUUCUCAUAGUUGUUGUAGUCAGGAAGAUAGACUGUUUUUAUCUGACACGUCUUGAAAAAGGGGACAAUGAAGAUUCUGUUUCUAUCGCAUCGUCCAGAAGUGAUUUACUCAGAUUGUAUUCUAGUUCUUCAGAAUGAAUUGCUGACAUUGAAUAAGAAAAUAGUAGUCUACCUACUUUGAGUGAACAGCUUGCAUCGUGGGCUACUAGAAACAUAUGUAGGCAAGACUGUGUUAAUGAAAUUUUGAGUAUUUCAAGACAAAAUAGUCACUCUACUUAUCCCUAAGAUUGUCGCACCUAAAUUCAAAUUCCAAAAUCUACAUCAUGAGUUGAAAAAUGCGGUGGUACAUAUGCUUACUUUGGGAUUGAAAGUGGAAUUAUGAAAACAAUUUUUAAUAACAUUUUAUUUUUAAACCAAAAUAAAGAGAUUGAUUUAAUAAUUAAUAUUGAUGGUCUUCCCCUUUUUAAGUCUUCAAAUUUACAGAAGUGGCCUAUUUUAGCUAAAUUUGAUAAGUAUGAUGUAUUUAUUGUGGCACUUUUUUGUGGAAACUCAAAGCCGACAUCUUUAAAUGACUAUUUGUAUGAUUUUAAAAUAGAAGUUAUUAAUCUUUUACAAAAUAGAUUUAAUUUUAACGAUAAAAAAAUAAAAGUUAAUUUAAAGUGUUUUGCAUGUGAUUCUCCUGCCAGAGCAUUCCUGAAGUCAAUUGUAAGUCAUUCAGAUAUAUAAUAAUUUUUUUUUUGUGUUCAUGGUUCCAGAAAAAAGUUGUCUUCCUUUUGAAAGAAAUUCGAGAUAACCAAAAAUCAGAAGCGCGUGCCAGAUUAGAGUUAGAUGUAGAAUUGAUUCAGCGCCAAAAUAUAGCAGAGUUUCAAGCUUUAGAGUAAGAAUUAUUAGACAUUGAGUUUAAACAAAAAUUUGUUAGAAGAAUUGCUAAAGUUGGUGGUGUGAAUGUAAAAGAAAAUAUUGCAAACGUUUUAAAUAGGCUGAUGAAUAAUCAUCUGAUGAGUGAUUUUAAUAUGAAGGGUAAGGAUGGAAAGCAGCCCUUUAGUGUUACUUGCCUUUAUAAAAUAAUAAAAACAAACGCUCUUAAUUUAAACAAUUGCAAUGAGAAGGAUGUCGACGAUGCCAUUUCAAAGCACCUUAAGCAUGCGCCAAAGAGAAAAGGUGGACGUAAAUUCACCGAAAAAAAUGUUUUAUAACGAUAUUUUGAAAUGUUCAUGUAACGUAUUUGUUUAUAAAUGUAUUAAAAUUCAGUUAUAUUUUUAGUCAAUAUAUAUUUCUCUAAAUUUAUUUUAUUUUUAGUAUAUUUUAUUGUUAUUAUAACU